ensembl:misc_RNA 7SK 7SK RNA
GGAUGUGAGGGUGAGCUGGCUGCAACAUCUGUCAUCCAUUGAUCAUCAGGGUUGAUUUGGCUGAUCUGGCUGGCUAGGGGGGUGUCCCCUUCCUCCCUCACUGCUCCACGUGUGUCCUUCCUGAAGACCUGCACUGGGUUGAAGAGGAGGACCUUCCUGAUCAAGGGUAUAAAGUAGCUGCACUCUCCUGCUAGAACCUCCAAACAAGUUCUCAAGAAGUGCUCUCAGUUUGUGACUUCCUCCCACUAAAAUCAAACUCAUGGCAUUAAAAAAAAAUGUAACAU